CACGUAGUUAGCCGGGGCUUCUUACUCAGGUACCGUCAUUUUCUUCCCUGCUGAUAGAGCUUUACGUAACGAAUUACUUCUUCACUCACGCGGCGUCGCUGCAUCAGGGUUUCCCCCAUUGUGCAAUAUUCCCCACUGCUGCCUCCCGUAGGAGUCUGGGCCGUGUCUCAGUCCCAAUGUGGCCGUCCGCCCUCUCGAGGCCGGCUACUGAUCGUCGCCUUGGGUCGGGCCCGUUACCCCGCCAACAAGCUAAUCAGACGCGGGUCCAUCUUACACCACCGGAGUUUUUCACACCGCUUCAUGCGAAGCCGUGCGCUUAUGCGGUUUUAGCACCUAUUUCUAAGUGUUAUCCCCUGUGUAAGGCAGGUUGCCCACGCGUUACUCACCCGUCCGCCACUAACCCAUAUAUCACUAGGUUUCAAUAUGGGUCCGUUCGACUUGCAUGUGUUAAGCACGCCGCCAGCGUUCAUCCUGAGCCAGGAUCAAACUCU
rnacentral:rRNA from 1 species